UACGUAGGCAGCGAGCGUUGUUCGGAGUUACUGGGCGUAAAGCGUGCGUAGGCGGUGUCUUAAGUUUGUUGUGAAAUCUCCCGCUUAACUGGGAGGGUGCGCCGGAAACUGGAGUGCUCGAGCGUGGGAGAGGAAAGCGGAAUUCCUGGCUGUAGCGGUGAAAUGCGUAGAUAUCAGGAGGAACACCUGCGGUGUAGACGGCUUUCUGGACCAUUGCUGACGCUGAGACACGAAAGCGUGGGUAGCAAACAGG
rnacentral:rRNA from 1 species